rnacentral:rRNA from 1 species
UACGUAGGGGGCAAGCGUUGUCCGGAAUCAUUGGGCGUAAAGCGCGUGUAGGCGGCUUGGUAAGUCUGCUCUGAAAGCCCGGGGCUCAACCCCGGGAGGCGGGUGGAUACUGUCAAGCUCGAGUCCGGAAGAGGAGUGUGGAAUUCCUGGUGUAGCGGUGAAAUGCGCAGAUAUCAGGAGGAACACCGGUGGCGAAGGCGGGACUCUGGGCCAAUACUGACGCUGAGGAGCGAAAGCGUGGGGAGCGAACAGG